UUUCUAUACAAAAUAAAAUGUAAAAUUAAUAUUCAAAUUUUUUAACCAUAAAAAUGUUUUAAAUAUAGUAAUGACAAAAUGAAUUGUAGUGUUUUAGACAAAAUUCCUUAACACUUGACAGAACCAAAUUUAUAAACUCAAUAGAAAAAUAAGAAUUUUUGUUAAUUUGAAUUUUUCACCAAAUGAUCCUUGAGAACAAGUGUCUAGGGAAUAUUAUCAGUAACUGUACAGCAACUUAACCUAAGUGUACAAGUUAUGGUUCAUAUUAACUAAACUAUAAAAACCAAAAACCUUUCAUUACAAAACUUACCCACAAGUGAGUUUAGUUUAACCAUAAUAGUUAUUGAUGUUUAACUACAAUAUUUCCUGUAUCUUUGGUUCAUAGUUUUGUUAAUAUAUUUUAAAUGUUUUCUUUCAAUGACUUGACCCAGAACUUAUUGAUUUGUGAUGAAUAUUUUUACUUUCCACUAACUUUACGUCAAUGAAUUCCUCGAGUGGGUCAGUCACAGGUCUGGUACAGUAUUACAAGUGAAUGUUGCUAAGAGUAAUUUAUUAUUUACUAAACAUACUCAUCUUGUAGGUAACUUUAUGUACUUUACUGAAUUAAUUAAAGUCAAGCAUAAACAUGACCAAUAAUUAUUUCUGGUGUUAUAAAUUUGAUGUAUUAAACGAUUGGUUACGGCCAGAGUCCAGUUUUGGGGCUUUUAACUUUGGUCAAUUAUUAUGAUAUUCCUGUCAUCAAUAAAGGAUCAUAGGUACAGUCAGGAUCAAAAGUGUUGAACACUUGGCAAUAUCUGUCAUCUACUUGAGUUAUAUGAUUGGGAUAUACUGUACUAAUAACACAACAGUACUAUCAUAUUAUGCCUGAACCACAAAAUAGGAUUAAACUCUACUUAAUACCAAAGAUUUUCAGUACUGACAUGCCAAAUACUGUCAAAUGUUCAGCACUUUUGACCAAGACUGUACAUCAGUUCUAGCCCCAUAAUCCCCUUUCAAUAUUCUCGAUCCUUUACACAUUUUCUCUUAUGUAUAUAAAUUUAAGUAUAAUUUCUCCAUUACUUUCUAUUUUGUCUUGAAAUUUAUAGCACCAAGAAAUCUAGUAUGGUCAUUGAAUAUCCCAGAGCAAUUUGUUUGCCUUUGGUUUUAAGGAUAAAUUGGCAGAGAAAUUCCAAUCAGUGUUGGAAAAGUUCAUUUUGACACAGGACGAUAAAGUAAACUUUACUCCCCUGUAAGUGAUCAUUCCGAGGCAAUUUUAUAUGUAGUAUCUUGUUUUUUGUAUAUUUUUACAUCAACUGAACUUGUUAUAUUCUUUACCUGAGGUAGAGAGGAGGGGUGGAUGGCUGGGUCUGGGCUGUAUCACCUGCUUCCUUUAGUUGUGUUGUGAAUCACUUGCCAUCCUGAUAUUGGAGAAGAGAAGCCUAGUACAGCAGUACAAGUGAGGCAAGAUGUGUGGUACAGCAGAGUGCACACCUCUCCUUGCCAAGGUCCAGAACCUACUGGAAGUAAAGUCAAGUUAUUAUCUAUAAAAAGUUUCAAUAACAUAUUUUCACAAUACUAAUUUAUCCUAAUACAGUAUUGUAUAACAUGACCCUAAACUGAAGGUUUUAUCCUCUAUGGAAGUACCACAUUAAUUCACUUAGUCAAGUACAGUAAUUGAAGAAUACAUUAGUGAUGCACCGUUAAUAACCAGAUUCAAAACACUCCCAAUAAUCUGCUGCCAGAGUUAAUGCUAUAAUUUAGGUAAAUUUUAUCAUGCAGGUAAAACAAGUCACUAUAUCGUCUCACCACCAAAGCCAGACUAAAAACAAAGUAUCGGCCAAAUACAGUAUUUAAAUAAAACAAACUUGCCGUUAGUCUGUUCGUCAAUGUUAAAUAACCCAGCCCUCGUCUUGUGUUGGUUAACCAGCCAAGGUGCCCGGGAAAGUCCUUACUAUUGAUGAGAAAAUGAAAGCAAUAAGCGUUGGGUCAGAGGAGCAUCGAGACAACAGAUAAACCAGACCAAGACCAGAAAAUAUUAACUUGCGGUGUUACUAAAUUAAUAUUUAUUUAUUUAUUUAUUAUUGAUGUUAGUCUCUCCUCGUGACGGCCAUAAUUGUUGUAUUAUCCUCAAGUGGUCAUCAGCUUAAUGUUUACUUGUACAGAGAUGGUGGAAAAGACACGCAUUUCUAAGCAACAGUGGCUUUAUUCUAUAUUUAAGACUUAUUUUGGAACAUUUAUUCAUUAUUUACUCAUUCUUUAAUAAAACAGGAUUUAAAUCAUGUUAUUUAUCAUUUUGACUAAAUUUGUUAUAAAAACUCCUCUCCAGCCUCAACAACCUAUGUCGUUCUUAGUUCUAAUUUGGGUAAUAUUGGUCAAUAAAAUAUCGAAUGUACCUUACCGAUGCUACAGUAUGUAAAACAAUCUUUCUCGUCAGUGACAGUCUUUACCAGAUUAUUUUUCUCUUCACAUUAAACAAAAGCUACUUUG